rnacentral:rRNA from 1 species
UACGAAGGGGGCUAGCGUUGCUCGGAAUUACUGGGCGUAAAGGGCGCGUAGGCGGAUCGUUAAGUCAGAGGUGAAAGCCCAGGGCUCAACCCUGGAAUUGCCUUUGAUACUGGCGAUCUUGAGUACGGGAGAGGUGUGUGGAACUCCGAGUGUAGAGGUGAAAUUCGUAGAUAGUCGGAAGAACACCAGUGGCGAAGGCGACUCACUGGCCCGAUACUGACGCUGAGGCGGCGAAAAGCGUGGGGAGCAAACAGG